GGCUUAGAGUUUGAUCAUGGCUCAGGAUAAACGCUGGCGGCGCACAUAAGACAUGCAAGUCGAACGGACUUAACCAUUAGUUUACUAUUGGAGCGGUUAGUGGCGGACUGGUGAGUAACACGUAAGCAACCUGCCUAUCAGAAGGGAACAACAGUUAGAAAUGACUGCUAAUACCGCAUAUGCCUUGAGUAUCGCAUGGUACAAAAGGGAAAGGAGCAAUCCGCUGAUAGAUGGGCUUGCGUCUGAUUAGAUAGUUGGUGUGGUAACGGCAUACCAAGUCGACGAUCAGUAGCCGGACUGAGAGGUUGAACGGCCACAUUGGGACUGAGAUACGGCCCAGACUCCUACGGGAGGCAGCAGUCGGGAAUAUUGCGCAAUGGAGGAAACUCUGACGCAGUGACGCCGCGUGCAGGAAGAAGGUUUUCGGAUUGUAAACUGCUUUAGACAGGGAAGAUAAUGACAGUACCUGUAGAAUAAGCUCCGGCUAACUACGUGCCAGCAGCCGCGGUAAUACGUAGGGAGCAAGCGUUAUCCGGAUUUAUUGGGUGUAAAGGGUGCGUAGACGGGAAAUUAAGUUAGUUGUGAAAUCCCUCGGCUUAACUGAGGAACUGCAACUAAAACUGGUUUUCUUGAGUGCUGGAGAGGAAAGUG
rnacentral:rRNA from 1 species